UGAGGUCAGCUGCUUUGACAAUGUUGCACUACUGUAUCAUUCAUUCUAGCAGUGCAAUAGUAUUGUCAUAGCAUUUGGCCUCAGC
rfam:Salmo salar isolate Sally breed double haploid chromosome ssa11, whole genome shotgun sequence.